GCCGGGGCAGGCGGCGUCACGAUGCCCGGCUCCGGCUCGGGCUCGGAAACGGGUUCCGAUCCCGGCCCGGGUUCCGAGACCGGUCCCGGCCC
rnacentral:tRNA from 1 species